rnacentral:lncRNA from 1 species
CCUAACAGUUUCAUAGCCUCCCAAAGAUAAGUACAAACGUCUCCGUACCAAUCCGCGAGACUCUACUAAACCUACUUGUGACUCAUAACACCUAUGAACCUAGUGCUCUGAUACCAACAUGUCACGACCCCAAUUCCCCUCCGUCGGAUAUCGUGAUGGCACCUAGUCUCUAAGACUAGGUAAGCCUAACAAUUUGCGGAAUAACUGAAUAUACAACUGAACUCAAAUUCUCGACAUAUGAAAUAUAAAUAAAAAUUGUGAUUUAAAUAACUACAACUCCCAAAACCCGAUAGAAAUAAGUCACAAGCUUUUAAGAGAAAAAUACUAAGUGUCUCUAUACAUUAGAGUCCAAAGAGAAUAAGGAGAAGAACAAAAUAAGGAUAGAUGGGGACUCCGGAGUCUGCGGUUGCUGGCAUAUGUACCUUGAAGUCUCCACGUACAGUCUAGCUCACUGGUAUAUGGUCUGGUAAGCAGUACCUGGAUCUGCACAACGGUACCUAGUAAGUGUCAAGCCUAACCUCGGUAGAGUAGUGACGAGGUCAGGUCAGGGCCCUAGGCAGAAAAUAUAAUAAUACAAUAAAAUGAUUGAGAAAUGAAUAAUGAGAAAUUACAGAAAGGUAGCAGCACAACAAAUAGAGGUAAACAAUAGGGGCGCUCCCAAGGUAUAACCUCGUAGCCCCAAAUGCAUAUACACAACAGGGGAAUCUCCCGAGGUACCACCUCGUAGUCCCAAAAGUAAAUAUGCAACAGAGGAUCUCCCGAUGUACCGCAUCGUAGUCCCAAAAGUAAAUAUGCAACAUGGGAUCUCCCGAGGUACCGCCUCAGAGUACCAAAAGUAAAUAUACGAAAGGGGGAGCUCCUGAGAUAUUGCCUUGUAGUCCCAAAAGUAAAUACACGAUAGGGGAGCUCCCGAGGCACCCCCUCGUAGUCCCAAAAGUAAAUACACAACUCAUAACCUAUGAAACAAUGAAUUUACAGCAAGGAAUCAUACAGCUAAAGACUGAAUACAAGAUCACGGAAGCAAGUAAUUCAACUAAGCAUGUUGCACAAAUUACAAGUAAGAGUUAAGGCACAUAGACAUGCUACAUUACGCUAAACAUGGUGACUACACAGACUAGAACGACUCAGUUAAGGAUUUAAAAGAAAACUACCCAACAAGAACCAUAUUUUUCAACAUUUAACCCGAGUACGCACUCGUCACCUCACGUACGCGGGCUUUCCGUAUUUCAGAUAUCGUAACAAUACCAAAACCUAAUGGGAGUUUCCCCUACACAAGGUUAGACAAGUCACUUACCUCAAAUAUCGCUCAAUCAGUCGAUAAGAAUGCCUUUCCCUCGACUUUGCGACUCCGACCAAAUCUAGCCAAAACCAAGUACAUACUAUAAAUACAACUACAAGAAAAUAAUUGAAGUAAUGAAACUACGACUUUAGCAAGAAAUUAGGACAUCACCCCCAAAAGGUCGACCCGGACCCACGUCUCAGAAUCGGGUAAAAGUCAUAAAAUACGAACACCCAUUCGACCACGAGUCCAACCAUACCAAUUUUACCAAAAUCCGACAUUAACUCGACCUUCAAAUCCUCAAAUCUUAUUUUCAAAUUCCUAGGCUCAAAUCCUCGAAUUGCAUCUCAAAAACACAUAAUCUAGUCAAAAUACUCAAUGAUAAUUUAAUAUUAUUGACUAACAAUGAACACAAGUGACUUACCUCAAGUUUUCCCAUGAAUUCUCGCUCAAAUAUCGCCUCAACCCAUGUUUGAAAGGUCCAAAAAUGACAAAAAUGUCGAACCCCUUCUGUUUUGUAGCUUGACCAGUGUUUCCGCUUCAACAGAGUACUUAACCGCAUCUGCUGUCUCGCAGAUGCGAGGUCCUCCCCGUUUCUGUGGCUUUUUCCGCUUCUGCGGACAAGAGGUCCGCUUCUGCGGCCUCGCUUUUGCGGUCGACACUGCCGUUUCUGCAGAACCAGCUGCCCCCUUCACUCCGCAUCUGCGGCCUCUGGCUCGCACUUGCGAGCUCGCAGGUGGUGAAGCGUGCGAGCUCGCAGAUGCAGAAAGCUUCACGCACCUGCGACGCAGCCCCAGGCCAAGCCCCAAAUACGCUUCUGUGCCUUGCCAUUCGCACCUGCGGUAGCGCACCUGCGAAAAUAGUUCUGCAUGUGCGAUUGCACUAGAAGGCAAAAAAUCUCAGCUUUGUUCUAAGUCCGAUUUCGAUCCGUUAACCAUCCGAAACUCACCCGAGGCCCCCGGGACCUCAACCAAAUACACCGACAAGUCCUAAAAUCAUACUAACUUAGUCGAGCCUUUAAAUCACAUCAAACAACGCUAAAAAUAUGAAUUACACAUCGAUUCUAGCCUAAUAUAUUUUAAAACUUCAAACUUCUACAUCCGACGCCGAAACCUAUCAAACCAAGUCCGAUUGACCUUAAAAUUUGCACACAAAUCAUUAUUGGCAUUAUGGACCUACUCCAACUUCCGAAAUCAUAAUCUGACCCCGAUAUCAAAAAGUCAACUCCCGGUCAAACUUUCCAAAAAUCAUCCAAUUUUCCAACUUUCGCCAAUUAACGCCGAAAUAACCUACGAACCUCUAAAUCAACAUCCGGACAUGCUUCUAAGACCAAAAUACCUUACAGAGCUAUCGAAACUGUCAAAACUCUAUUCCGAGGUCGUCUUCAUAUAGUUCAAACUACGGUUAAUUCCUAGAACUUAAACUCUCAAUUUAGGGACUAUGUGUUCCAUUUCACUCCGAAACCAAAAAUAAAUCCCCCGACUAAUCACGUAACCACAAAAUGAAAUAGAGAGAGCAAUAAAUAGGGGUUCGGGGCUAAUACUCUCAAAACGACCGACCGGGUCAUUACAAGCACCCAAUUGGCAUCUCAUAGUUCACAUUAAUAAUCAUAUCUGAAUUUUACAUAAUAACCAAUUGUAUAACAUUAACCACUUCUAACUUCAUACUCUUCCUAUUCAAAAUGUACCCAUUCUACGAAUGUGCAACAUGAGCUUUGUCACUAUUGGAAAAAAAAAUACAUUUUCAAACUUUGUCACAUCCAACAAGUUCAACGACCCACUAACCAGAAGAAAAAUAUGAAAUUCACACACCUAUUGCACGUAUCUACUUAUGCUUCAUAGGUACCCAAGAUUCAACAAAAUAAAAAGAUAAAUCACAAGGAUUCAUGUCUCAGGUAAAGUGAUACAAAAAAUAUCUAUAGUUCAUAUAGCAUAGUUGAACAGGGGUGAAACCAUGAUAUUUUAUUUAUGAAGAAGGAGAAAGUAAUGACUAAACAGAAGAAAAUGGGUACCUAGAAAUGGAUAUAAAAUAAAAGUAAAUAGAUACAUCAAGGAACAAGAUAAUGAAGCUCAACAACUCAAUUGAAAUAACAGCAAGCACAACAGUAAUUGUCUACCAGCUUUCAAACACUUGUUUCCCAUAAAAUCAGAAGACUUUUGAUACUCUAAAAGACCCCAAAAAGUGAAUUGAACACCGACUGAUCUCUUUCCACUUAAGACAUGUUAAGUAUCUUUUCGAUCUUCCUCCUAAAUAUCGAUCAGAAUCCCUUUAUCCCUCUUUUCUUUUUCCCAUAAAAUUUCUCUAAGAGUUUUUGCUUCCAGCUCAAUUAAAUUCUUCUAGAACCUCCCCUAUUUUAUUUUUUUACCUCUCAUUGUUAUCUUUUUUUUUUUACUUUAAACCUGCCUGACCUCAUAAAAUUAGGCCUAGAUCUAUUACCUCCUUUAUCAAACCUUAUACCUAGUCAGUCCACCUUUCUAAAUUCAAUGCAGAACUAACCAAAUCCUAGAAGACCCAUUUAUCAAUUAAAUGAAACAGAAAACCAACUAAGGAACUGAUUUAGUAUUCUAAAGAAUGGACGAUGACCUAAACAAUAAGAUCAAAAGAAACAGGACUAAUCAUGAAAUUCGAACCAUUCAACAUGCUCAAUAAUAAUUAAUCAUGUGACUAACAUCAAUUGUAUUCAAUCAAUCGAUCAAGAAAUCUAAAUACUCUUAGCAUGCCGUGGCUACAACUAAUCAUGCUUAAAAACUAAUAUGAAACAAAAUAGAUAAUAAGUCAUGCCUUUUAAGCUAGGUAGAGAUACAAGAAAGAAACAAAUAAUAAUACAAAUAAAAGCCAAAAGAAAUAAAGGGAGAAAUGUACCCAUCGGAGUUCAAACGGAUCGGCCAAAAGGAUUUCCGGCAGGCCGAAGGGAUUGUUACACUAACACUGGCCGAAAUUUCCUUAUGCAAGCCAGUGUUACAUGUAACAAUACCUCUAGCAAGCCGGAGGAAUUUGGAAGGGGUCUAGCCGGAUUUUGGGGGUCAUGAAAUAGUUUGGGACUAACACAAAUCGAUAGUUCUCAUCGAGACUAGUCGAUUGGUGUAGGUUUCAUCACCAAUUGGGCCGUGAUUGAAAAAGAAUCGAGAAAGAGGCAGAUUGGAUAGGUUCUCAAUUUUUAGAUCUGCUAUUGAAGGAGUUCUGUGUGUUUUUAGAGGAAACUAAUAUCAGAAUAUGGAUGGGGAGAGGAUAGGGAGUGUAUGGUGAUAAAUUAGGGAUGUCUGGAGGUUUCCUGUGGCGGCGGAGGGCGACGAAAAUGAUUUUCGGCCACCCCGGAUUCCAAAUUGGGGCGAAGAGAAUUGGGGUGGCUUCAAAGGUGAUU